rnacentral:rRNA from 1 species
CCUACGGGAGGCAGCAGUGAGGAAUAUUGGUCAAUGGACGAGAGUCUGAACCAGCCAAGUAGCGUGAAGGAUGACGGCCCUAUGGGUUGUAAACUUCUUUUAUAUGGGAAUAAAAUGUUCCACGUGUGGGAUUUUGUAUGUACCAUAUGAAUAAGGAUCGGCUAACUCCGUGCCAGCAGCCGCGGUAAUACGGAGGAUCCGAGCGUUAUCCGGAUUUAUUGGGUUUAAAGGGAGCGUAGGUGGAUUGUUAAGUCAGUUGUGAAAGUCUGGGGCUCAACCGUAAAAUUGCAGUUGAAACUGGCAGUCUUGAGUAGAGUAGAGGUGGGCGGAAUGCGUGGUGUAGCGGUGAAAUGCUUAGAUAUCACGAAGAACUCCGAUUGCGAAGGCAGCGCACUGGAUUGAAACUGACACUGAGGCUCGAAAGUGUGGGUAUCAAACAGGAUUAGAUACCCUGGUAGUC